CCUCAGGGCACGCCACCUGACCCCGUGUUUUCCUGCGUCUGCCAUGGGCGCCGCAGCCAUCUGCUCCAUGGUCCUCUGUCUCCUGGGUGCAGGCUCCCUUGACGCAGCAGAAGUCACCCAGACCCCAGGGCACCUGAUCACAGGGAAAGGACAGAAUGUGAAAAUGUCUUGUGUCUACCCACAGGGACAUCGUUAUGUUUACUGGUACCAACAGAUCCUGGCAAAAGAGUUCAAGUUCUUGGUUUCCUUCCAGGACAAAAAUGUUUUUGAAACAGAAAUGCCCAAGGACAGAUUUUUAGCUGAGUGUCCCCCAGACUCACCCUGUAGCCUGGAGAUCCAGGGUGUGGAGCUGCAGGAUUCAGCCACGUACCUCUGCGCCAGCGUUGAACGCACAGUGCUAAAUAUCAGCUCUGCCUGCUGCACAAACUCACCCUGGGCCCGGCUCGGGGAGCAGGUGGUGCACCAGGUCAGAAGGCGAUGA